rnacentral:rRNA from 1 species
CACGCCGUAAACGAUGAGUGCUAGGUGUUGGGUGUCAAAGCUCAGUGCCGCAGCUAACGCAAUAAGCACUCCGCCUGGGGAGUACGAUGGCAACAUUGAAACUCAAAGGAAUUGACGGGGACCCGCACAAGCAGCGGAGCAUGUGGUUUAAUUCGAUGCAACGCGAAGAACCUUACCAAGGCUUGACAUCCCUCUGAAGUAUAUAGAGAUAUAUACGGCUUUUAGGAGACAGAGGAGACAGGUGG